rnacentral:misc_RNA from 1 species
CAAGAAUCGAGGCUAACGCGCCUGCCGGGGCUUUGUGCGCCCGUGCUAGGUUGCGUCCGGCCCCGCUCCUUACCUUGCCUAUUGCACCGUUCGUUGCUUCCUGGCGGUGGGACACCGCCGCCAGGAACCUUCUAAAAGUCUUGUAUAGAAGCAUUGAAACCCCUGAUAUACACUAAAUCGUA